GAUAAACGCUGGCGGCGCACAUAAGACAUGCAAGUCGAACGGACUUAACUCAUUCUUUUAGAUUGAGAGCGGUUAGUGGCGGACUGGUGAGUAACACGUAAGCAACCUGCCUAUUAGAGGGGAAUAACAGUGAGAAAUCAUUGCUAAUACCGCAUAUGCUAACAGUAUCGCAUGAUACAGUUAGGAAAGGAGCAAUCCGCUAAUAGAUGGGCUUGCGUCUGAUUAGCUAGUUGGUGGGGUAACGGCCUACCAAGGCGACGAUCAGUAGCCGGACUGAGAGGGUGAACGGCCACAAGGGGACUGAGACACGGCCCUU
rnacentral:rRNA from 1 species